CAAAACAUGAAUCAACGUCUUGCUCUAAGUAACAAGUCAGCCCCGCGAAAUCCACGUCAUAAAACAUUUUUUCCAACGUACGUUUUAUAGAGCUGUUCAAACAGCAUGUAGCUUGGCGGGCUUUUCUUUUUUUUCUUUUUUUUUGAGUGACGCUUGACAGGAUGUGAGAUGUCAACUCCCGAAGCUCAAGGUCACUCACAGGCCCCCUGGUGGAGCUCAGUGCAUAUGUGCAAAUCAAACUUCAUUUGUCAGUGUUAUCCGUGUGACCCUCCACCUUCCUCUCUGCGUGGACCCAAAGGAAACUGGGGCAACCUUUGAACCACACGCUGGAACUACUGCAGGUUCCAGUUCCAGUUGAUGCUCCUCUCCAUGGAGGAUUUUCACACACACACUCUGGAUGAGCCACAGUUAACGGUCCUCAAAUGCCUUUAUCUGGAAGAGAAUUCUCGCACUUACCCUCCACCUCAGAGGAAUUCGGAGCAUCAAUUGUGGGAAAGAAGGGCAAUUUUAGGAAAAGGAGUCAAAGCCAAACCGAUUUCCUGAGGACCGUGACACAAUGAGAGACGGUCCACAUAAAUGCUGAAUGACAGGAAAGAGGCUCAUCCAAUUGAAGUCAAACUGCCAGGAGAAGAAGUGAAGAUCCUUUUUACAACCUAAGCAGCGGCAUCUCAUUUCCUGCUGGAUGUGACGUAAUGUGCGGGAGCUGAGGUGUGAAAGACAGGGAUGAGAGGCCAAGAAAAGACAAACAAACAACCCCUAUCUGAAUUCUGCCCAGUCAAUGACAUUGACAUCAAGGUUUUGCAAGCACCGGGAUAGGAAAGAAGCAACAUUCUGUUGAACAAGACAAAGUCCGCAGCAGCUGAGUCUGUGAUCGAAUGACCAAAGAUCUAGGAGGCAAGUUUAAGAACUGAGCUCUGAGCUGUGGCUUUCCUUAGAAAAGAAAACUACAUCAGGUACACUGAUGUUAUCUGUAGUAUAUCUGCAUGUGGGCCAACAAGAUGUAGACACACUCGGGCACCUAGACAACUGAUGAACUGAUGAUACGACUCUGGGUUAGGUUUCAAAAAAUAUACCUGCUACAGCUCUGUUGGAAAGUGGUCGGAGUGCAGUGAGGACACGUGGUGGGAAUUUUUUCUCAUUAAAAGAAUGCUAUUUCAACAAAAACAACGUACUUCUGAACUGAAACAAAACUGUCUUCAAAUUCAUGCUGCUGUCAAAUUAGACCGUAUAUAUAAAUAUAACCAAGGGUUACAUAUAUUAUUACAUAUUAUUAAAGAUUAAAGUAAAACAAACAAACAAAGUGUCACUUGGACCCUGUACCACCAGGACCAUGUUUCCUGGUCGUAGUUUUGGCUUAGGGCCAUUUUGCUGCUGUUCUUCUAAGACACUCAGCUACCAGGUAUUGUUUGUUUACAACAAAGAAUAUUUGUCGGCUGAUUCAUUUCACCAAUUCAUUUAUCUGUUUGUUGUAACCUGUUGGUGUACAGGCUCUAAAAAUAGACCCACAAGAACAAGAAGUUCUAAUCUGUGCCUGUCUUUCCGACCGUGCAAACCAACUAAACCACAUUUGAGGCCAACAUAAACACACCGGGUUGCAUGAAACUCUAAAGGGACAUUUAUUCCAAAGUAAAUUCAAAUUUAGGAAGAAAUCCUGAACGAUUCAAUGUAAACUUUGAUGCUCUCACUUUAACUUCUUAACUGCUUGUAGGCGAACAAAAACUAGUGCUGAGAACUUUUUAUCUGAGUGAGUCUUUGUGUAAGACUGUGUGCCUUUGUGUGUGUGUGCGCGUGUGUGUGUGUGUGUGUGUGUGCGUGCAUAGGUGCCCAGGGGCCCUUGUUAUUAUGUCCUGCUGCUUUUCAAUAGAACAGCUGUGCUGAGUCUCCAACCUCAGCCUCCAAAGAAGGAACAGGCUGCCUGGUAACUGCACUCUGAUUGGCAAACUUCUCUCGGCUGUUCUGACCAAUCACAGAGGAUGUCUCGCAAUGAGGAAGUGAAUGGAGGGGGUAGAAAAACACAACACAGAGAAGGAGGAGUGUGAGAAAGUUUACCACAAAGGAGAAAAAAAAAAAAAAAAAACGAACUGAGAGAGGAGUGAGGAAGCAGAAUGUGGGUGUUGCAAGCGGAGUAGUAAUUUAAGGCAGCGCGUUUAAAGGUUUUAACCUCUCAUAUGUUUCGUUAAUCCCGUCCUCUGUCUUUUACAGCGUUCUGCUCUGUUAAGUUUGACCUUUUGUUUGGUACAGUCAUAACCACGCAGGGAACAAAAAAAUAUGCGAGACAACUUUCUGCAGUCCGUCAACACAAACGACACCGCUGCGAAAUUUAAAUGUUUAUAAACAAAAAUGAGAAAAAUCAAACUUAGGACAAAAAACAUCUCGGACAAACACCCACGUGUACUUUACUUUUGGUCGUGCCCCACAUGAGGGACCCAUAUGUACACGUUUCCCAGCAUUCUUUGAUUUAUUUUGAUUGACAGUAACAGAAGUACAUUAAUGUUUCCAUCUUCUUUUUCUCCACAUGUUGAGAGGCAGUUGACAAACAUGUGUUUCC